rnacentral:rRNA from 1 species
AGAGUUUGAUCCUGGCUCAGAACGAACGCUGGCGGCGCGUCUUAAGCAUGCAAGUCGAGCGGCAAGCUAUGUGUUUACACGUAGCCUAGAGCGGCGGACUGGUGAGUAACACGUGGGUGACCUACCUAAAAGUUGGGAAUAGCCGUUAGAAAUAGCGGGUAAUACCGAAUGUGCUUACAGGAAGAAAGUCUUGUAAGGAAAGGAGCUACGGCUUCGCUUUUAGAUGGGCCCGCGCCCCAUUAGCUAGUUGGUGGAGUAAAAGCCUACCAAGGCGAUGAUGGGUAGCCGGCCUGAGAGGGUGAACGGCCACACUGGGACUGAGAUACGGCCCAGACUCCUACGGGAGGCAGCAGCUAAGAAUAUUCCGCAAUGGACGAAAGUCUGACGGAGCGACGCCGCGUGGAUGAUGAAGGCCGGAAGGUUGUAAAAUCCUUUUGUCAACGAAGAAUAAGCGGAGGAGGGAAUGCCUUCGUGAUGACGUUAGUUGACGAAUAAGCCCCGGCUAAUUACGUGCCAGCAGCCGCGGUAACACGUAAGGGGCGAGCGUUGUUCGGAAUUAUUGGGCGUAAAGGGUACGUAGGCGGGCCUGCAAGUCUGAUUUGAAAGCCCACGGCUCAACCGUGGAGGGUCAUUGGAAACUGGGUCACUUGAGUACAGAAGAGGAAAGUGGAAUUCCAUGUGUAGCGGUGAAAUGCUUAGAUAUGACGAGGAACUCCUAUUGCGAAGGCAGCUUGCUGGGUCGUUACUGACGCUGAUGCUCGAAGGUGCGGGGAUCAAACAGGAUUAGAUACCCUGGUAGUCCGCACCGUAAACUAUGGAUACUCUCUGCCGGCGAUACAUUGUCGGUGGCCAAGCGAAAGCGUUAAGUAUCCCACCUGGGGAGUACGUUCGCAAGAAAUGAAACUCAAAGGAAUUGACGGGGGCCCGCACAAGCGGAGGAACAUGUGGUUUAAUUCGAUGAUACGCGAGGAACCUUACCCGGGUUUGAAUUGCUGAUGGCGAUAAUUGGAGACAGUUAUUUCCCUUCGGGGCGUCAGUGAAGGUGCUGCAUGGUUGUCGUCAGCUCGUGCCGUGAGGUGUCGGCUUAAGUGCCAUAACGAGCGCAACCCUUGUCAUUAGUUGCCAUCAGGUCAAGCUGGGGACUUUAAUGAGACUGCCACCGUAAGGUGUGAGGAAGGGGGGGAUGACGUCAAAUCAGCACGGCCCUUAUGUCCGGGGCGACACACGUGUUACAAUGGGAGGUACAGAGGGCAGCUAUCCGGUGACGGAAUGCUAAUCUCCAAAACCUUUCUCAGUUCGGAUCGAAGUCUGCAACUCGACUUCGUGAAGUUGGAUUCGCUAGUAAUCGUAUAUCAGCAACGAUACGGUGAAUACGUUCCCGGGCCUUGUACUCACCGCCCGUCA